AGUGAACGCUGGCGGUAGGCCUAACACAUGCAAGUCGAACGGCAGCACAGUAAGAGCUUGCUCUUACGGGUGGCGGGUGGCGGACGGGUGAGGAAUACAUCGGAAUCUACUUUUUCGUGGGGGAUAACGUAGGGAAACUUACGCUAAUACCGCAUACGACCUACGGGUGAAAGCAGUGGAUGUUCGGACCUUGCGCGAUUGAAUGAGCCGAUGUCGGAUUAGCUAGUUGGCGGGGUAAAGGCCCACCAAGGCGACGAUCCGUAGCUGGUCUGAGAGGAUGAUCAGCCACACUGGAACUGAGACACGGUCCAGACUCCUACGGGAGGCAGCAGUGGGGAAUAUUGGACAAUGGGCGCAAGCCUGAUCCAGCCAUACCGCGUGGGUGAAGAAGGCCUUCGGGUUGUAAAGCCCUUUUGUUGGGAAAGAAAAGCAGCAGGUUAAUACCCCGCUGUUCUGACGGUACCCAAAGAAUAAGCACCGGCUAACUUCGUG
rnacentral:rRNA from 1 species